GGGAAUAUUGCACAAUGGGGGAAACCCUGAUGCAGCGACGCCGCGUGAGUGAAGAAGUAUUUCGGUAUGUAAAGCUCUAUCAGCAGGGAAGAAAAUGACGGUACAUGUCUAAGAAGCCCCGGCUAACUACGUGCCAGCAGCCGCGGUAAUACGUAUGGGGCAAGCGUUAUCCGGAUUUACUGGGUGUAAAGGGAGCGUAGGUGGCAUGGUAAGCCAGAAGUGAAAACCCAGGGCUCAACUCUGUGGAUUGCUUUUGGAACUAUCAAGCUAGAGUGCUGGAGGGGUAAGCGGAAUUCCUAGUGUAGCGGUGAAAUGCGUAGAUAUUAGGAGGAACACCGGUGGCGAAGGCGGCUUACUGGACAGAAACUGACACUGAGGCUCGAAAGCGUGGGGAGCAAAC
rnacentral:rRNA from 1 species